GCGCGGCGAACGGGUGAGUAACACGUGGGAAACCUACCCCUUAGCAGGGGAUAACAUUUGGAAACAGAUGCUAAUACCGUAUAACAAUGACAACCGCAUGGUUGUUAUUUAAAAGAUGGUUCUGCUAUCACUAAGAGAUGGUCCCGCGGUGCAUUAGCUAGUUGGUAAGGUAAUGGCUUACCAAGGCGAUGAUGCAUAGCCGAGUUGAGAGACUGAUCGGCCACAAUGGGACUGAGACACGGCCCAUACUCCUACGGGAGGCAGCAGUAGGGAAUCUUCCACAAUGGGCGAAAGCCUGAUGGAGCAACGCCGCGUGUGUGAUGAAGGGUUUCGGCUCGUAAAACACUGUUGUAAGAGAAGAAUGACAUUGAGAGUAACUGUUCAAUGUGUGACGGUAUCUUACCAGAAAGGAACGGCUAAAUACGUGCCAGCAGCCGCGGUAAUACGUAUGUUCCAAGCGUUAUCCGGAUUUAUUGGGCGUAAAGCGAGCGCAGACGGUUAUUUAAGUCUGAAGUGAAAGCCCUCAGCUCAACUGAGGAAUUGCUUUGGAAACUGGAUGACUUGAGUGCAGUAGAGGAAAGUGGAACUCCAUGUGUAGCGGUGAAAUGCGUAGAUAUAUGGGAAGAACACUAGUGGCGAAGGCGGCUUUCUGGACUGUAAACUGACGUUGAGGCUCGAAAGUGUGGGUAGCAACAGGAUUAGAUACUCUGGUAGU
rnacentral:rRNA from 1 species